rnacentral:lncRNA from 1 species
AGAGUGAAGUUGAAAUAAAUAGAACCUUAAGCUCUUACCAAAGAGAUCAAAGUACGAUAGUGAGAUUGGUACGACGUCGGAAUUGAAGAGCAACGACGAGAUUGAAACGGGCCUAAAACCAGAAGAAAACAUCGGGGUUAAUGCGAAUUUAAGCAAAUGACAACCAUUAGAUUGGUGCGACCACAACCGAAAAAGAAAGAUACAUGCAAGAGAGCUUAAUGAUUAGGUUAACUGAAAGGAAGGAGUAUUAUGGUUUGUUUAGAAUUUUUAGAAGAGAUAAAAAAAAUAAAAACAUUAAAAAGUAAUCAUC